GGUAGACCUACAUUUUUGGGGAUUGUGAAGCUUGAGCUGUUAUGAGGGCCCCUUCACAACCAACAAUGAAGUCGGAGUAACCAUUGCUGUCUUCAUCAGUGGAGGAUACCCCUGGGGCACCAAUUGGAGAAAAAUAUGGACUUUUAACAUCAGCCAAGCAGUACUGUAUGAUGAAGAAAACAUCAGCACCAACCAGCUUGUAGAUUUGAUUGAGGACAUUUCUUCAAGACACAUGUAACCAGACAAACACAUCAAAACCAAAAGCCACCAGCUCCAAGACAAGAGUUCUCCAGGGAGAAUGAGGAAAGAAUGCUAAUUUUGUGUGGAAGCCUUAUACAAAUUACAGAGAGUUUGAUGAGAAACAGAGUUAGAAGAGGCCUAUGAGGCCAUCAUGUCCAAUCCAUACUCAAUGAAAGAAUCCAACUCAAAGUAUCUGACCAAUUGUUGUCUAAUUUUCUCUUGAAUGCCUCCAGUUUUGGAGCACUCACCACCACCUGAGGCUAUUCCACCAAAUUUUGUGUCGUCCACAAAUCUGAUGAGCAUUCCCUGUAUCCCCUGAUCCAAGCCAUUAAUAAAACUGAUGAAGAGCACUAGGCUCAGGACUGAGCAUUGUGCUACCUCACUUGUUACC